CAUUCUCUGGUGUUGAAGGCCCUGCAAAGCAGCAUCGCGGUGGCGGAGCGUCGUUUGCGACGCCCAACACACAAAACAAGCGGUGAGUGCUUUGGGGUGGGGUGACUGCGUACCUUUUGUAUAAUGGGUCAGCGACUUAUAUUCUGUAGCAAGGUUAACCGUAUAGGGGAGCCGAAGGGAAACCGAGUCUUAACUGGGCGUUAAGUUGCAGGGUAUAGACCCGAAACCCGGUGAUCUAGCCAUGGGCAGGUUGAAGGUUGGGUAACACUAACUGGAGGACCGAACCGACUAAUGUUGAAAAAUUAGCGGAUGACUUGUGGCUGGGGGUGAAAGGCCAAUCAAACCGGGAGAUAGCUGGUUCUCCCCGAAAGCUAUUUAGGUAGCGCCUCGUGAACUCAUCUUCGGGGGUAGAGCACUGUUUCGGCUAGGGGGUCAUCCCGACUUACCAACCCGAUGCAAACUGCGAAUACCGAAGAAUGUUAUCACGGGAGACACACGGCGGGUGCUAACGUCCGUCGUGAAGAGGGAAACAACCCAGACCGCCAGCUAAGGUCCCAAAGUCACAGUUAAGUGGGAAACGAUGUGGGAAGGCUCAGACAGCCAGGAUGUUGGCUUAGAAGCAGCCAUCAUUUAAAGAAAGCGUAAUAGCUCACUGGUCGAGUCGGCCUGCGCGGAAGAUGUAACGGGGCUAAACUGUGCACCGAAGCUGCGGCAGCGACGCUUAUGCGUUGUUGGGUAGGGGAGCGUUCUGUAAGCCUGCGAAGGUGUCCUGUGAGGGAUGCUGGAGGUAUCAGAAGUGCGAAUGCUGACAUAAGUAACGAUAA
rnacentral:rRNA from 1 species